GGGGGUGGAGGGGGUCCGGUGGCCCUCCCGGUCUUCAAAACCGUGUGGGUGCCAGCGAGCCUGGCACCGGUGGGUUCGACUCCCAUGCGCCCUC
rnacentral:tRNA from 1 species